CUCUCUCUCCCACUUAGUUCUUCAUCUUUUGCUUUCUUUUCUUUUAUUUUCUGUUUGGUUCAGCCAUGAGUGGCUGAAACCCUCUUUCUAGUUGAAGUUUGGUUGAAACUAAGGUUGUUUAAAAGGUUGUGAGAUCUGAACAGAAACUUUUGUCUUUGAUUUUAUUCAAUAUUCAUGCAAUUGAUGCUUAAUUCUAAGAUUGCUUUGUUGUUUUGAUCAAAUUGGCCACUUGAUUCUUG
rnacentral:lncRNA from 1 species